GACAGAGGCCUCAAGCGUUAGGCGGAAUCACUGGGCUUAAAGCGUGUGUAGGCGGGUCGUUAAGUACCUUGUGAAAUCCCACGGCUCACCCGUGGAACUGCUGGGUAUACUGGCGAUCUUGGGCCAUUCAGGGGCAACUGGAACAAGCGGUGGAGCGGUGAAAUGCGUAGAUAUCUGGAGGAAUACCGGUGGCGAAGGCGGCAUUCUGGACCGACAUUGACACUAAAGCGCGAAAGCCAGGGGAGCAAACGGG
rnacentral:rRNA from 1 species